GUGUCCAUAAUUUUUCACUACUAGUUCAACUUACAAAAGUUGAGUUCCCAACUUACAAAAGCAAAACUAAAAGUUGGUACAGCUAAACUACAGCAAAAGAUUCCGACAAGACCCGGCCCUUCCUAUUCACUUGCCCAGGUACUCGCCUCUAUAAGGAAAACAAAUCUAAACGGUGAGCUUUCGUCCCAUGAGGUUCCAAGAAAGUCAUUCAAAAAUAAUAUCAUAUUCUUGCGACAUAACCAUAGUUCACAACCAUAAUGCAAGUUCACAUUGGGUACUCGACAAUUAAGAAUUUACAUUGCCAUAUAAAAAGAUACGGGGCAUUCAAGAGCAUAUUCAACCAAUUUGAUCAGACUUCCGCUGACACUCCAUUAACAUUUUUUCCAAAAUACUUCUCCCUCCGUCCCGAAAUGAAUGUCGCACUUCGGGUCUUGAGUUUCUUUUCAACAGUGUCGCAUUUUGGUUUAAAUCCCAACGCUACCCCUUCCGUGCAUUACUCCAUUGAGUGGCAAAAAGAAAAAGCAAGGAUGAUAAGAUGUGUGGGAUGCAUACUUUACAAAUGUGUCUAGCCAUUUUUUUGAGAAAAUAGCUUGCAGGGCCAUUGUUUGCAUUUGCAGUGAGACUCACGCAUAUUAGAUCCCUGGCUAAAUACAGCAGAUUGUGAUCGAUACAAUCUUGAAAUAUGCUAUUAGUUUUUUUUUUAACUUGGAAUAGGUUUCAAAAAUUCCAUUCACAGGAACAACUUUCUCUUCUUUUUUACAUAUAGUUUUUUUUUUCUCGAAAGAUUCUAAUUCCUGUGUUGUCCUGAAUUGUCAUUGCCUAUUUGAAAUCCCUCUACAAACGAAAAAACUCUUCAAGUUCGACACGCAAAACAAACCCAUACUCCCUCUCUUCUCUUUUCUGCCGACCAAGUCCUUUGUCGCCUGAAAAAGACAAUCGCUCCCUCCCCCUAUUUUUUUCCUCCUCCGACUCUUUCGACGAAAACUUGAUGGGAGACUGGAAUAUUAUUUGGAUAAACAUUACCAUUCUGGAGACGAAUGGUCGGUUUCAUUCGUGACUUCAUGAAUUUCAAUACUCCCCACUCGAACUUUAGUGUGGCCAUGUCUUUUUGGCGGAAUGUAUUUUCGGGCAGAAGAGAUGGGAGGCAUGCCGUGGAUGUUUAUCUUUAUGUUGAGAUUGAACCACAGCAAGUGGGAAUCAUGUACCUUACCGGUGACGAAGAAAUUGGUGUUCUCGGAUAGGAAACGCAUUGGGAAGACGUCAAGUGGAGAGUAAUAUCAAUGGUGGCAUUUCCUCUGAGCUGUUUGUUACGAAUAUGUAGGACGCUACCUCCUCCGAAAUUAUUCAGAUAUGUAGUGAUUCGGGCAGAGUUGACACGGAACAGCAGUCCCCUUGGACAGCCGAACAGAAUUCACGUGGGUCGCAUGGCCAGAAAUGACAUCUCCAAUGUUAAUGUCUUGAUAAAUAAUUUGCUACAGCUAGCUAACAUUGCUGGGCAUCACUUUCUCAUGACGUACCGUUUGAUUGGCGAGGAGCACUACCGAAUCUUUAGUUAGGGGCCGAAUGUUCAUAGUUUUCACGAUUUUUAGGACCAGAAUUUUCAAGAUUUUAUUUUCAUUGUGUCCAUAAUUUUUCACUACUAGUUCAACUUACAAAAGUUGAGUUCCCAACUUACAAAAGUAAAAUUAAAAGUUGGUACAACUAAACUAUAGCAAAAGAUUCCGACAAGACCCGGCCCUUCCUAUUCACUUACCCAGGUACUCGCCUCUAUAAGGAAAACAAAUCUAAACGGUGAGCUUUCGUCCCAUGAGGUUCCAAGAAAGUCAUGCAACAAUAAUAUCAUAUUCAUGCGACAUAACCAUAGUUCACAACCAUAAUGCAAGUUCACAUUGGGUACUCGACAAUUAAGAAUUUACAUUGCCAUAUAAAAGGAUACGGGGCGUUCAAGAGCAUAUUCAACCAAUUUGAUCAGAAUUCCGCUGACACUCCAUCCACAUUUUUUCCAAAAUACUACUCCCUCCGUCCCGAAAUGAAUGUCGCACUUCGGGUCUUGAGUUUCUUUUCAACAGUAUCGCAUUUUGGUCUAAAUUCCAGCGCUACCCCUUCGGUGCAUUACUCCGUUGAGUGGCAGAAAGAAAAAACAAGGAUGACAAGAUGUGUGGGACGCAUACUUUACAAAUGUGUCCAGCCAUUUUUUUGAGAAAGUAGCUUGCACGGCCAUUGUUUGCAUUUGCUGUGAGACUCACGCAUAUUAUAUCCCUGGCUAAAUACAGCAGAUUGUGAUCGAUACAAUCUUGAAAUAAGCUAUUAGUUUUUUUUUUAACUUGGAAUAGGUUUUAAAAAUUUCAUUCACAGGACCAACUUUCUCUUCUUUUUUUACAUAUAGUUUUUUUUUUCUCGAAAGAUUCUAAUUCCUGUGUUGUCUUGAAUUGUCAUUGCCUUUUUGAAAUCCCUCUAUAAACGAAAAAACUCUUCAUGUUCGACACGCAAAACUAACCCAUACUCCAUCUCUUCUCUUUUCUGCCGACCAAGCCCUUUGUCGCCUGAAAAAAUAGACAAUCGCUCCUUCUCCCUAUUUUCUUCCUCCUCCGACUCUUUCAACGAAAACUUGAUGGGAGAUUGGAAUACUAUUUGGAUAAACAUUACCAUUCUGGAGACGAAUGGUCGAUUUCAUUAAUGACUUGAUGAAUUCCAACACUCCCCACUCGAACUUUAGUCUGGCCAUGUCUUUUUGGCGGAAUGUAUUUUCGGGCAGAAGAGAUGGGAGGCUUGCCGUGGAUGUUUAUCUUUAUGUUGAGAUUCAACCACAGUAAGUGGGAAUCAUGUACCUUACCGGUGACGAAAAAGUUGGUGUUUUUGGAUCGAAAACGCAUUGGGAAGACGUCAAGUGGAGAGUAAUAUCAAUGGUGGCAUUUCCUCUGAGCUGUUUAUUACGAAUAUGUAGGACGCUACCUCCUCCGGAAUUAUUCAGAUAUGCAGUGAUUCGGGCAGAGUUGACACGGAACAGCAGUCCCCUUGGACAGCCGAACAGAAUUCACGUGGGUCGCAUGGCCAGAAAUGACAUCUCCAAUGUUAAUGUCUUGAUAACUAAUUUACUGCAGCUAGCUAACAUUGGUGGGCAUCACUUUCUCAUGACGUACCGUUUGAUUGGCGAGAAGCACUACCGAAUCUUUAGUCAGGGGCUGAAUGUUUAGAGUUUUCCCGAUUUUUAGGACCAGAAUUUUCAAGAUUUUAUUUCCAUUGUGUCCAUAAUUUUUCACUACUAGUUGAACUUACAAAAGUUGAGUUCCCAACUUACAAAAGCAAAACUAAAAGUUGGUACAACUAAACUACAGCAAAAGAUUCCGACAAGACCCGGCCCUUCCUAUUCACUUGCCCAGGUACUCGCCUCUAUAAGGAAAACAAAUCUAAACGGUGAGCUUUCGUCCCAUGAGGUUCCAAGAAAGUCAUGCAACAAUAAUAUCAUAUUCAUGCGACAUAACCAUAGAUCACAACCAUAAUGCAAGUUCACAUUGGGUACUCGACAAUUAAGAAAUUACAUUGCCAUAUAAAAGGAUACGGGGCGUUCAAGAGCAUAUUCAACCAAUUUGAUCAGAAUUCCGCUGACACUCCAUCAACAUUUUUUUCAAAAUACUACUCCCUCCGUCCCGAAAUGAAUGUCGCACUUCGGGUCUUGAGUUUCUUUUCAACAGUGUCGCAUUUUGGUCUAAGUUCCAGCGCUACCCCUUCGGUGCGUUACUCCAUUGAGUGGCAGAAAGAAAAAGCAAGGAUGACAAGAUGUGUGGGACCC
rnacentral:lncRNA from 1 species